UUCUUCUACUUCAGAAAGCAAGCCAGUCAGACCAGUCACUCCCUUUGCUCGUGUGCAUCUGUGCUGGCUGGGCAUGGUCUCUAUCCAGUGAAGCUGAUGCUUUUUGGAAGCUUGAUCUUGCUUGGCCAUCCUGUGGAACCAACACUCGCAGCAUCAGCAGCAGAAAGGGCAAUGGAGGCUGAAUAGAGCAUGCCGAUUGAAUAGCAUCACAACCAGACACUGCAAGGACACACACGCGUAAUAAAUAAAUAAAAAUAAAGGGAUAUAAAACACAAGUGAUCUCCUCUGAAAGGUCACCUUCUUCUGAAUCAAGUAAUACAGAGGAGCUAUAACAUAGUUGACGCAUUUGGAAGGAAUCUGUGAAAAUAAUUGACCACCCCCAAAAAGAUUUAAACUCUGUGGUGUUCCUUGGUGCUGGGGCUUUUGCAAUGGCACGUACUUCAGUUGGGGUGACUUUCACUCACUCGGGGUUGUGUGUUCGAGAGGAAAAGGCAGGGCAAAUUCCAGCCAUUCAAGGGGCUGUUUGGUAAAAAGAAAAGGAAGGACUCUGGGACAGUCUUGGUAGAGGC